GAAACCAAACCAUUCCAAAUCUUCAAAAGUCUCUGUUUUUUUCUCUCUUCUUCUUCUCCUCAAAAGCUUCAGUGUAAGCAAAUCACAAAUCAUCGUUAUUCAAAGAAGAAAACACUCGAGUAAGUUCUAAAUCUAAAUUUCCCUUUCUCAUACUUUUUUUUGGUUAUGAUACUAAACUCUAAUCUGACACAACACUGUUUCUCUUUUACAAUAACCAGAAUGUGGAAGACUGUUACUACGGAGGGGAGAAGAAAAUGUUGCAGACUUUGGAAUUUUGUUCCUAAGUAAGUUUAUAAAUUUCGAGUUUAUGUUCUUCUUCUCUAAUUGCUCUCUAGCAUAUUUUAUUGUAUUGUGAAAGAAAAAAAAACUAAUUUACGGUAUUGUUGUGUGUUUCUCUCUCCCUAGAUGCUCUCUGAUUUGUGGAAGCUGUUUCGAAAAGCCGGAGACUUUUAGAGAAUAGUUUCAUGAUCAACUCAAACGAUCAAGUAAGUUUCUAUAUUUGGAGUUAUCUAUCUAUCUGCCACGUAAUCUGAUUUUUUAAUUAAUUGUUAAACCUGGAUUAGUUUAAUUCGGUAGCUUCAUGAUCUUGUUGAUGUUGCUUUACUCGGUGUCUCAUUAUUAGUUUAUUUCUUCAAAAUUAGCUAUUUUUAGUUUAAUAUAUGUUCAAUAAAAAAACAGAGCCAUGCUUUUUUUUGUUAAGUGGAUUAUUAGUUAAGUGCUUCAAAUUUCACCUUGCAUGUAUAUAUGAUUUUCUUUAAUAGAUUAAUUUAGGAAAAAUGGUGUUAAAUAUUUUGAACUAAAUAAUAACAAAUGUUUUUUGACUAGAUGAUUAAAAAUUAACAAUUUUUUUUAUUACACUAUGAUGAAACUAAAUUAUUGUGUCAAGUCAAAAACUCAAAAACUAAAUUAGUUUUUAUUUUGUUUAUGUAAAGAAACUACAGCUGGAUAAAAAUAGAUGUUAUUUUGCUAUAUUAUAUGGUCCAGUCGCCGGAUAAAAAAUGGAGGAAGUCGUUUCAAAACGUAGAAGACUUAUGAUCAUGAUCAACUUAACGAUCCCAAGUAAGUUUUAAGUCGAAAUACGUAUUAUUUGCCACUCAAUUCUUUAACUUGAGGUGGCUUCAUGAUUUUAGUUGAUAACUUUACUGAAAAUUGCAUUGGAAUUAACUAAGGCUGUAUAAAUUAUUGCUAUUGAUAUCGUUGAUUCGUUAGUCCAAAUUUGCCAUUAUCAAGUGUGAUGAAGAUAUUGGCCAAAAUCUCUUUAUGUCAAAGGUCAUCGUGUUCUAGAAAAUUAGAUCCACGCAUACUUUUUGCGAAGUAUCUUUCUUUCUAGCAACCCAAUGUUUUAUAGUAUCUCAUAUUGACCACUUGAAUUUCACAUUGCAUAGAUAGUUUUUUGUUUAAUAGAUUGAUUUAAGAUCAUUAUUAUAGAUUUCGUACAUAGCGGGAAAUAUUUAUUAUAGGACAUAUGUGUGUGUAUUCUAAGUUUUGGUGGAACAAUUUGUUAACGUAUUCGUCCCAAAUUUACAAAAACUUUGUGCCUUUUUCGACCACACACUUACAAUUUAAGAUAGUGACAAAUUUAGUCAUUCAAUAUCGUUGUAAAAGAACAUCAAAUACCAAUAUGGUAAAAUUAAGGGGAAGCACAAUUGGCAAAGUCAGCUCUGGAUUCGGGGUUUGCUCUAAUCUCUGGUAGCGGUUCUCAGAAAAAAAGAAAGAUCGAGAAAUAUCAGAAGGAAAGAAUAGAAGGAAAUGGAAUCUGCUCUGGUCUCGGGUCUCAGGAAAAAGAUUGAGAUGAUAGACACUGCAACUAACUUCGGCGACAUAAAGAGAUUUUGGCCAAUACCUUAUUAUAUUUUGGUAACCAACCAAUGAAGAAAUUUUUUUCUAAUCAAUCUCUAUUUUUAUGGACAGUGGAUAUUAAUUCUGAAAGAAAUUUUAAAAGGCAUUCCAAAAAUAAUCUCAGAAAGAUAAUAAGUUUAUAUAGGCAAAGGAAAUCUCCG
rnacentral:lncRNA from 1 species